UAUAGAAUAAAAGAAGCAAGCAUUAUGCUGCCUCAUCAUCUAGGAUCCAAAUCUACAACUAUAACAUGACUAUGGAUUGCCGAACAGAUCCGAACAGGAGGGUUUUUGCUGAAGCUUUCUGUAAAAAAAGGGGCAAUCCAGUAAGUCAAUGCAGUCAAGCCAGUGAGUAGGGAGGUCAAGCUUUGCAGUCUAGCGAGUCAAGGAAUGACCAUACCGAAGCUGGCCCGAGACUAUUCAGCCUCUCGGGUCAGUUCAGGCCCAGUUUAAUUAAAAACCCUCCCUCA
rnacentral:lncRNA from 1 species